CGGAGAGACGGAAGUCUUCUGUUUAUCCACAGUGCCAGUAAAACAGGCAGCAGCAACAUUCUCGUCUCCAUAUUAUCCUGCCAAUGUGCCACAAUUCUGACCUGGCAGGACCAGCUCUGUCAGGGUAGAUUCCAUGUACAGUCAUUCAAUGACCCCU
rnacentral:sRNA from 1 species